UGGGGAAUAUUGGACAAUGGGCGAAAGCUUGAUCCAGCCAUGCCGCGUGUGUGAAGAAGGUCUUCGGAUUGUAAAGCACUUUAAGUUGGGAGGAAGGGCAUUAACCUAAUACGUUAGUGUUUUGACGUUACCGACAGAAUAAGCACCGGCUAACUCUGUGCCAGCAGCCGCGGUAAUACAGAGGGUGCAAGCGUUAAUCGGAAUUACUGGGCGUAAAGCGCGCGUAGGUGGUUUGUUAAGUUGGAUGUGAAAUCCCCGGGCUCAACCUGGGAACUGCAUUCAAAACUGACUGACUAGAGUAUGGUAGAGGGUGGUGGAAUUUCCUGUGUAGCGGUGAAAUGCGUAGAUAUAGGAAGGAACACCAGUGGCGAAGGCGACCACCUGGACUAAUACUGACACUGAGGUGCGAAAGCGUGGGGAGCAAACA
rnacentral:rRNA from 1 species